CCUACGGGGGGCAGCAGUGGGGGAUAUUGCACAAUGGGGGGAACCCUGAUGCAGCGACGCCGCGUGGGUGAAGAAGCGCCUCGGCGCGUAAAGCCCUGUCAGCAGGGAAGAAAAUGACGGUACCUGACGAAGAAGCCCCGGCUAACUACGUGCCAGCAGCCGCGGUAAUACGUAGGGGGCAAGCGUUAUCCGGAUUUACUGGGUGUAAAGGGGGCGCAGACGGGGUAGCAAGCCAGAAGUGAAAGCCCGGGGCCCAACCACGGGACUGCUUUUGGAACUGUGUGGCUGGAGUGCAGGAGGGGUAGGCGGAAUUCCUGGUGUAGCAGUGAAAUGCGUAGAGAUCAGGAGGAACACCGGUGGCGAAGGCGGCCUGCUGGACUGUAACUGACGUUGAGGCCCGAAAGCGUGGGGAGCAAACAGGAUUAGAUACCCCGGUAGUC
rnacentral:rRNA from 1 species